rnacentral:rRNA from 1 species
AACGAACGCUGGCGGCAGGCCUAACACAUGCAAGUCGAGCGAGAUCUUCGGAUCUAGCGGCGGACGGGUGAGUAACGCGUGGGAACGUGCCCUUUGCUUCGGAAUAGCCCCUGGAAACGGGGAGUAAUACCGGAUGUGCCCUAUUGGGGAAAGAUUUAUCGGCAAAGGAUCGGCCCGCGUUGGAUUAGGUAGUUGGUGGGGUAAUGGCCUACCAAGGCUUCGAUCGAUAGGGGGUGUGAGAGCAUGACCCCCCACACGGGUACUGAGACACGGACCCGACUCCUACGGGAGGCAGCAGUAAGGAAUAUUGGACAAUGGGCGGAAGCCUGAUCCAGCCAUGCCGCGUGAAGGACGAAGGCGCUCAGCGUUGUAAACUUCUUUUGGAUGGGAACAAUAACUCCGACUUGUCGGAACUUGAGGGUACCAUCAGAAUAAGCACCGGCUAACUCCGUGCCAGCAGCCGCGGUAAAGUACAGUGU